AUUUUGGAUGUUCUGGAAUGGUAAUAAGUGAAGUUAUAGUUAUGAAACUUGAUACAUAUAUUUAAUUUAACAUGAGGAUAAUUACUCAAAGAAGUUUAAUUUCAUUUUACCUGGUUAAAAUGGUGCUGUAGAUGAAAAAGAAAGAUUAUACGAGAUAAAUAUUAUGUUCAAUGGAUUUUGAAAUGGUUAAUGUCAAUAUAUCUUUUGCUGUUGUCAGUAAUGUGAUAGAGGAAAAGGACUGCAUGACAAUGGUAGAACAAAGCAUGACACAGAAUAUUGGCCACUCCCCAAAUGAUGGAGACUUUUAGGAAUUAAGGUUGAUGAGUAUGAUGAUGAAUCAGAAAAAUUCCAGAAAAUUAUUCAGAUUUUCAUGCUAAAUAUUUCAUGCAGAAAUAAUUUCACAAGCAAUGUAAUGUAUGGUAAUAUUCCAACUUGUAAUCCACUGCAGAAAAUAUUUCUAAUGUUAGUACUGCAGGCCCAGGAAUCACAUUACUUAGAAAUAUUACUUAGGUUGCUAAAGAAGUAUAUGAUAUUGCUCAUUACACUAAACCUUUCUGAGAUUAUAGAUAGUUGCAUCUCAAAAAAUAAUAAUUUUAUCAUGAAGUCUGCUGUGAAUUUAUACUACAUUGAGAAAUAAUGUCUGCUGAAAAGAUUUUUACCUUUCAGCAAUUAUUAUUUUAUGCACAAUAUUAUUAGACAGAGGAUGACUCCCAUAUGUGAGAGUUCUGUGAAUUAUAGCAUUACUGAAGCUAAAAUAUAUCUCAUCAAUCUACAAGAUCUUUCAUGGCCACAUUUCAUUCAUUUCCAUGCAAACCAAAAAUCGAAGAACAAAGUCAAGCCAAUGUGAUGAGUCAGCUUGUAGCAGCAAUUGAAUAAUAUGGAUCUUGAAUAAAUAUCACUUCAGACUGAUUCUAAGAACUUUAUAGAUUAUUGAUCAAGAAUGAUUCAUCUAUGCCACUGUACAUGUGCUGCAGAUAGACUGAGAGUUAUUUACUAUAUAACCAAUCAUGAAAACAGAUACCUGUAUCAGCAGUCUCAUCUGUAAUAAGCCUCUUACCACUUCUUGGGAUAGAAGGCUUAUUACAGAAAGAAUAACCUAACUCUUUCUGCAGUAGAAGGCCUAUUUUAGAAAAAAAUUAAAUUAUUCAGUUUCUUCUAAUUUUUUUGGCAUUUUUUCAUAUCAUCUAUCUAUCUAUACCUUCUUCAGACUAUCUGGUGAUAUAAGAUAUCCUUUCCUUAACUUUGAUUUGCCAAUAUUCUCACAGUGCAACUAUUAUUGACAUUUUCUUAUUGUUGUUUGUGCAACCAAAAUACACACAAUAUGUCAUAAUGAAAACUUUACAGAUAAAAAAUUACAUUAAAUUAAAAAUUUUUUGCUAAAUUUAAAAAAUAAUUUUUAUGCACUGUGAAAUA
rnacentral:lncRNA from 1 species